GAUGAAGAACGUAGCGAAAUGCGAUAAGUAAUGUGAAUUGCAGAGUUUUGUGAAUCAUCGAAUCUUUGAACGCACAUUGCGCCCGCCAGUAUUCUGGCGGGCAUGCCUGUUCGAGCGUCAUUACAACCCUCAGGCCCCCGGGCCUGGCGUUGGGGAUCGGCGGAAGCCCCCUGCGGGCACAACGCCGUCCCCCAAAUACAGUGGCGGUCCCGCCGCAGCUUCCAUUGCGUAGUAGCUAACACCUCGCAACUGGAGAGCGGCGCGGCCACGCCGUAAAACACCCAACUUCUGAAUGUUGACCUCGAAUCAGGUAGGAAUACCCGCUGAACUUAAGCAUAUCAAUAAGCGGAGGA
rnacentral:misc_RNA from 1 species